rnacentral:rRNA from 1 species
UACGUAGGGGGCAAGCGUUGUCCGGAUUUAUUGGGCGUAAAGAGCGUGUAGGCGGCCGGGUAGGUCCGUUGUGAAAACUCGAGGCUCAACCUCGAGACGUCGGCGGAAACCCUCUGGCUAGAGUCCGGAAGAGGAGAGUGGAAUUCCUGGUGUAGCGGUGAAAUGCGCAGAUAUCAGGAAGAACACCCGUGGCGAAGGCGGCUCUCUGGGACGGUACUGACGCUGAGACGCGAAAGCGUGGGGAGCAAACAGG